rnacentral:rRNA from 1 species
GACAGAGGUGCCGAGCGUUAGGCGGAAUCACUGGGCUUAAAGCGUGUGUAGGCGGAUGGGUAAGUACCUUGUGAAAUCCCACGGCUCAACCGUGGAACUGCUCGGUAUACUGCUCGUCUUGAGCCAACUAGGGGCGACCGGAACAAACGGUGGAGCGGUGAAAUGCGUAGAUAUCGUUUGGAACGCCGAUGGUGAAAACGGGUCGCUGGGGUUGUGCUGACGCUGAGACACGAAAGCCAGGGGAGCGAACGGG